GCUUUCUUUGAAGCCCCUACAACAUGGGAUAUUUGAAGAAUCCCCUUUCUACAAACCUUUCUAUAAUAUAAGAGAAGCUCUUCGAGCUUUCUUCGCAUGCUUGAGCGCAUCCCCUUUCUAUUAGUAAGGUUGUCAAAUUUCCUUUAGUUCCUUUAUGACUAUAAUAUAAAUAAUAGGGGUAGGGGGGCGCUAACGAACCUUUAUACUAGUAAGGUUGUCAAAUUUCCUUUAGUUACUUUAGGACUAUAAUAUAAAUAAUAGGGGUAGGGGGCGCUAACGAGCAAGCAAACGGAUGCGCUAAGGCGCAACUUCACGCAGCUGCUACGCCCUUGCUUCUUGCCUUAUCUUUUACUAAGAAACUAAUCUAAAUAGAAGCCCUUCUUUCUCAAAGUAAACUUUCUCCCUUCUUGCUUUAGUGAAAUAAGGGGCGCUAACGCGACCUUCCUUCAGCAGGCUUCGCCCUAUCUAUUCAUCUAUUUUCUCAAAUGGAUAUUUAUUCUUUCUCAAAGUCAACUUUCUCUAUUCUUGCUUUAGUGAAAUAAGGGGCGCUAACACGACCUCCCUUCAGCAGGCUUCGCCCUAUCUAUUCAUCUAUUUUCUCAAAUGGUUAUUUAGGGAUCUCUCUUGUUCAUAAAUCUUGAAACCAGAUCAAUAUC
rnacentral:lncRNA from 1 species